CGAUGAGGUAGAGGCGCAUUUAGUAUCAGUAACUACUCCGAGGAUGACAACGUUGAAGGGUGGUGAAAGGGCUACUUGCCGAAGUGUGUAUGGGUGUCCGCUUAUACAUGCUGGUGUUUCUUUGAAUAAGGGACUCACUGUCAUGCAAGCCGAACGAUUGGAUUGCAUGGAGCGCUACUGAUCGA
rnacentral:ncRNA from 2 species